rnacentral:rRNA from 1 species
CCUACGGGGGGCAGCAGUAGGGAAUAUUGCUCAAUGGGGGAAACCCUGAAGCAGCAACGCCGCGUGGAGGAUGAAGGUUUUCGGAUUGUAAACUCCUUUUCGGAGAGAAGAUAAUGACGGUAUCUCACGAAUAAGCACCGGCUAACUCCGUGCCAGCAGCCGCGGUAAUACGUAGGGGGCAAGCGUUACACGGAUGCACUGGGCGUAAAGAGAGCGCAGGCGGGGUUGUAAGUCAGAUGUGAAAUCCUGUAGCUUAACCACAGAACUGCAUUUGAAACUGUGCGUCUAGAGUGUCGGAGAGGCAGGUGGAAUUCUUGGUGUAGGGGUGAAAUGCGUAGAGAUCAGGAGGAAUACUAAUUGCGAAGGCGACCUACUGGAACAUUACUGACGCUCAUGCACGAAAGCGUGGGGAGCAAACAGGAUUAGAUACCCGGGUAGUC